UCCUACGGGAGGCAGCAGUGGGGAAUAUUGCGCAAUGGGGGGAACCCUGACGCAGCCAUGCCGCGUGAAUGAAGAAGGCCUUCGGGUUGUAAAGUUCUUUCGGUAAUGAGGAAGGGAUGUUGUUAAAUAGAUAGCAUCAUUGACGUUAAUUACAGAAGAAGCACCGGCUAACUCCGUGCCAGCAGCCGCGGUAAUACGGAGGGUGCGAGCGUUAAUCGGAAUAACUGGGCGUAAAGGGCACGCAGGCGGACUUUUAAGUGAGAUGUGAAAUCCCCGAGCUUAACUUGGGAACUGCAUUUCAGACUGGGAGUCUAGAGUACUUUAGGGAGGGGUAGAAUUCCACGUGUAGCGGUGAAAUGCGUAGAGAUGUGGAGGAAUACCGAAGGCGAAGGCAGCCCCUUGGGAAUGUACUGACGCUCAUGUGCGAAAGCGUGGGUAGCAAACAGGAUUAGAUACCCUGGUAGUCC
rnacentral:rRNA from 1 species